CGCGUAGGCGGCUUGGCAAGUCAGAUGUGAAAGCCCCGGGCUUAACCCGGGAAUUGCAUCUGAAACUGCUUUGCUUGAGUCCUGGAGGGGGUAGUGGAAUUCCCAGUGUAGCGGUGAAAUGCGUAGAUAUUGGGAGGAACACCUGCGGCGAAGGCGGCUACCUGGACAGUGACUGACGCUGAGGCGCGAAAGCUAGGGGAGCGAACGG
rnacentral:rRNA from 1 species